AUCACAUGCUAAGUCAGGUGCUAAACUGCAUGUAAAAUCCCCAGCCAUUACAUGUCACUUCCUCUCCUGGUCCUUCAUACAAGUCCUGAAAAGCAUUUGCUCUUGAUUCAUUGUCCAGCUAAAUUAUUUAGGGGCAAUGUUAAUAUCCUAUGGAGGCCUUGUGGAAUAAAACAGCCUCUGUCAAUUCAGCCAAAUGUAAGGAUGUGUCUGUAGUGGAAUUUAUACAGCUUCUUCUCUAAACUCCUUUGUCUUCCAGAAAUGAAGGCUAACGUGGGCAUUUUUACAGGACCAUCUACCAGAUCAGCACUGUCAAGAAGUGGAUUUUAACUGUCCUGCACCCUAACGCCUAGCCAGUCCCAGCUCUGUACAUCUAUCAUUGAACUUAUAAUGGGUCUGGCUCCUGGGAAACAGAUUUUUCUUCACACUGAUAUGUUUUUGAAUUGAAAUAGGACAGCCCAGAGAACUGGCCAGCAAGGAACACUUGGCAUGCUAGGAGCUGAAAACUCAGACAUUCAGCUGUUUCAGGAAGGUGGUGGAAUUCACUCUCCUGAGCAUGGAAACACAUCAACACUGUCCUUCCAUACUACUGCUGCUGAAAUUAGUGAGUUU